rnacentral:rRNA from 1 species
CGCUGGCGGUAGGCCUAACACAUGCAAGUCGCACGGCAGCACAGUAAGAGCUUGCUCUUACGGGUGGCGAGUGGCGGACGGGUGAGGAAUACAUCGGAAUCUACUUUUUCGUGGGGGAUAACGUAGGGAAACUUACGCUAAUACCGCAUACGACCUACGGGUGAAAGCAGGGGAUCUUCGGACCUUGCGCGAUUGAAUGAGCCGAUGUCGGAUUAGCUAGUUGGCGGGGUAAAGGCCCACCAAGGCGACGAUCCGUAGCUGGUCUGAGAGGAUGAUCAGCCACACUGGAACUGAGACACGGUCCAGACUCCUACGGGAGGCAGCAGUGGGGAAUAUUGGACAAUGGGCGCAAGCCUGAUCCAGCCAUACCGCGUGGGUGAAGAAGGCCUUCGGGUUGUAAAGCCCUUUUGUUGGGAAAGAAAAGCAGCAGGUUAAUACCCCGCUGUUCUGACGGUACCCAAAGAAUAAGCACCGGCUAACUUCGUG